rnacentral:rRNA from 1 species
AAUCAACGCUGGCGGCGUGCCUAACACAUGCAAGUCGAACGGGAAAACGGGGGCAACUCCGUGAGUAUAGUGGCGUACGGGUGAGUAACACGUGACUACCUACCUUUGAGUGGGGGAUAACCCCGGGAAACCGGGGCUAAUACCGCAUAACAUCGCAAGAUCAAAGAAGCAAUUCGCUUAAAGAGGGGGGUCGCGGCUGAUUAGCUAGUUGGUAGGGUAAUGGCCUACCAAGGCGAUGAUCGGUAGCCGGCCUGAGAGGGCGCACGGCCACACUGGAACUGAAACACGGUCCAGACUCCUACGGGAGGCAGCAGUGGGGAAUUUUGCGCAAUGGGGGAAACCCUGACGCAGCAACGCCGCGUGGAGGAUGAAGUCCCUUGGGACGUUAAACUCCUUUCGACCGGGACGAUUAUGACGGUACCGGUGAAGAA